rnacentral:rRNA from 1 species
UACGUAGUUUGCAAGCGUUAUCCGGAUUCACUGGGUUUAAAGGGUGCGUAGGAGGGUAUGUAAGUCAGUGGUGAAAUCUUCGAGCUUAACUCGGAAACUGCCGUUGAUACUAUCUAUCUUGAAUACCGUGGAGGUGAGCGGAAUAUGUCAUGUAGCGGUGAAAUGCUUAGAUAUGACAUAGAACACCAAUUGCGAAGGCAGCUCGCUACACGAAUAUUGACUCUGAGGCACGAAAGCGUGGGGAUCAAACAGG